ACGUGAGAAGUCUGCCCUUAGGAGGAGGGACUAACAGCUGGAAACGGUUGCUAAUACUCCAUUAUGCCGAAGAGGUGAAACGGAUUUAUCUGCCUAAGGAGGAGCUCGCGUCUCGAUUAGCUAGUUGGUAGGGUAAUAGCCUACCAAGGCGACGGAUCAGUUAGCUGGUUUUGAGAGGGAUGGAUCAGCCACACUGGGACUGAGACACGGCCCAGUACUCCUACGGGAGGCAGCAGUAGGGAAUUUUCCGCAAUGGGCGAAAGCCUGACGGAGCAAUACCGCGUGAGGGAUGACGGCCUG
rnacentral:rRNA from 1 species